GUCUGUGGGCUGAUAAACAUGCAAAUUUCCCCACGCAAAUGAUGUUAGGCCGUGGCACCUUUCCCACUGAGAAAGCGCCCUGUCAACAAGCUGGGAAAAUGGGUGAAAGCCCAUGCUUUGCCCGCCCUGGGUAGCACACACUGGCCAAGAAUCUGGGCAAGGCCCCCUGCAGGGGCAAGCGCACAUCGCACACUCCCGCCUCGAGUCCCUGCGGGAAGGCAGGGACUUCCGCAGGCCUGUGGUCUGGCUUUAGGGAAAAGUCCAUUUGCUCACUUGAUUCCGUGGUGUUUCCACGUGAGCGCAGCUGUGUGUGUCAGCUGAUGUGUGUGAUCUGAGUGGUUUCUAUACCGUCGUGGAAACCCCCAGCCCAGUGGUUAUGGACUUUCUUGGGGCCUCAACUCUCCCCAAGAGCGUGAUCCUCACUACGGGGGAGCGGCGCUUUAUCCGGCGGGGCGGGUGGACACUCCUACAGACCCACUUUGACCCAUUUUCUCACAGUUUCCAACCCAGAGCCGCAGGGACAGGGGCGGACUGCGUUUCCUUCCCUGAGCCCUCCGCAGAGCCUCUGGGCAAGGCGGGCAGGGCCCAGGCUGCAGCGGGGCCUCCGGCCCGAGGCGCCUGCGUGGGAGCCGACCCUAGGCGCCGGGAGCCCCGGCGGGAGCUCCAGGGGGUGCGGGCGUUAGAGAGGGCUAGGGCCGCGCCCAGGCGGGGUGCGGGGAACCCGGGAGAUGAAGCCGCCCAGGGGCGGGGGUGUUUGUCACCAAGGUUCUGAGGGGCCGUGGAAGGUUUUUACCUGUUUUCAUUGGGAGCAAAUAACAAAACUAAAAGCGAUGGAGGAGUGGGGCUGCAGAAAUGGAAGCAGCAGUGUGGGGAAGCCGGACGCUUCCCGGGGAAGAGGGAGAGGGGACGCUCAGAUCCAAAAGGCGGGCUGGGAGCGGAGUGGGGCAGCCGCCGGGGGGCGCCCGCAAGGGCUAGGGCUCGGGGCCGGGUUUGGGGGCGGGUAGGGGCGGGCAGGGGCGGGGCAGGAGCCGGGGCUGCGAGCUGGCCGCGGCGCAAGGAAUGCGGCCUUUGGCUGGUCCCGGGCCGGCAUUCCGGCCGGCGCAGGAAUGUGAGCAGGGUGUUCACUGCGCGCUCUGAGCGCACAAGUUUGUUCUCCUCUCCUUGGAGAACGCCGGCCCGCUCUGUGCCACCCUCUCCCCAAGCCCCCGGGAGGAGGCCUCGCCACCAUGCCCAGAGCAGCACAGUGAGUCAGAGAUGAAGCUCUUGUCCCACCUGCCCCAACCCUCGAGCCCUGCUUCCCAGGUCCGCAUUCCCAGGCAGCCUGCCACAGCCAGUGCCAGCGAGAGAGUGGAUCAGGCUUCAGGAUAGCCCAGCACUGAGGACAUCUAAAACAGUCUUCAUUUAUUUAUUUAUUGUUCAUAGUGUCCAAAAGUUGGAAUUAAAGUGAAUGGCUGAAUCAAUUAUGGUGCAUUCAUAUUUAGGGAUGUUAUGCAUCUAUUAAAAAGAAUGAAAUAGAGGUAAACCAGUGAUUAAUUUUAAUUAGAUAUUUAUGAAUAAUAAAAGCAAGAUAAGGAAAAGUGUGUAUAUUAUUUAGGUAAAACAGUGAUUUAAAAUCUAUGUGUGUAUAUGUAUGUUUUGUUAGUUUGAGUUCGCCAAAGAUCAGUGAAUCAGUGACCAAGAUGAGGUUCCAUUUGCAAGAGAUUUAUUGGAAAAGCUCCAGGAAAAAUGUGUGUAUAUGGAUAUUUUAUUUCAUCUAAAGUAUAUAGAAUAAAAUACCUUUAGAUGGAAUAAAAUAUCCAUAUUACUUUAAAAUGUUUGGAUUGAAAUACAGUGAAGUGAAAAUUCCCCCUCCCAGUCUGGUUGCCCUUUUUUUUUUUUUUUUUUUUUUUUUUUGAG
rnacentral:lncRNA from 10 species